AGAGUUUGAUCAUGGCUCAGGACGAACGCUGGCGGCGUGCCUAAUACAUGCAAGUCGAGCGAAUGGAUGGGAGCUUGCUCCCUGAAGUUAGCGGCGGACGGGUGAGUAACACGUGGGCAACCUGCCUGUAAGACUGGGAUAACUUCGGGAAACCGGAGCUAAUACCGGAUAACUUCUUUCCUCGCAUGGGGAAAGGUUAAAAGACGGUUAUGCUGUCACUUACAGAUGGGCCCGCGGCGCAUUAGCUAGUUGGUGAGGUAACGGCUCACCAAGGCGACGAUGCGUAGCCGACCUGAGAGGGUGAUCGGCCACACUGGGACUGAGACACGGCCCAGACUCCUACGGGAGGCAGCAGUAGGGAAUCUUCCGCAAUGGACGAAAGUCUGACGGAGCAACGCCGCGUGAGUGAAGAAGGUUUUCGGAUCGUAAAACUCUGUUGUCAGGGAAGAAUAAGUACCGUCUAACUAACGGUACCUUGACGGUACCUGACCAGAAAGCCACGGCUAACUACGUGCCAGCAGCCGCGGUAAUACGUAGGUGGCAAGCGUUGUCCGGAAUUAUUGGGCGUAAAGCGCGCGCAGGCGGUUUCUUAAGUCUGAUGUGAAAUCUCGCGGCUCAACCGUGAGCGGUCAUUGGAAACUGGGAAACUUGAGUGCAGAAGAGAAGAGCGGAAUUCCACGUGUAGCGGUGAAAUGCGUAGAGAUGUGGAGGAACACCAGUGGCGAAGGCGGCUCUUUGGUCUGUAACUGACGCUGAGGCGCGAAAGCGUGGGGAGCGAACAGAAUUAGAUACCCUUGUAGUCC
rnacentral:rRNA from 1 species